rnacentral:rRNA from 1 species
UACCAUGCAAGUCGAACGGGAACUGUCCGGAGCUUGCUUCGGACGGUUUCAGUGGCGGACGGGUGAGUAACGCGUGAGGAACCUGCCUUUCAGAGGGGGAUAACGUCCGGAAACGGACGCUAAUACCGCAUGAUGUCCCGGGAUCACAUGGUUUUGGGAUCAAAGGAGCAAUCCGCUGGAAGAUGGACUCGCGUCCGAUUAGCCGGUUGGUGAGGUAACGGCCCACCAAAGCUGCGAUCGGUAGCCGGACUGAGAGGUUGAACGGCCACAUUGGGACUGAGACACGGCCCAGACUCCUACGGGAGGCAGCAGUGGGGGAUCUUGCACAAUGGAGGGAACUCUGAUGCAGCGACGCCGCGUGAGGGAAGACGGUUUUCGGAUUGUAAACCUCUGUCCCCGGUGACGAUAAUGACGGUAGCCGAGGAGGAAGCUCCGGCUAACUACGUGCCAGCAGCCGCGGUAAUACGUAGGGAGCGAGCGUUGUCCGGAUUUACUGGGUGUAAAGGGUGCGUAGGCGGCUGAACAAGUCAGGUGUGAAAACCAUCGGCUCAACUGAUGGAUUGCACUUGAAACUGUGCAGCUUGAGUGAAGCAGAGGCAGGCGGAAUUCCCGGUGUAGCGGUGAAAUGCGUAGAGAUCGGGAGGAACACCAGUGGCGAAGGCGGCCUGCUGGGCUUUAACUGGCGCUGAGGCACGAAAGCAUGGGUAGCAAACAGGAUUAGAUACCCUGGUAGUCCAUG